UGGGGAAACAGCUGCGAAUACUGUACGAGCCCGUCGCCGUAAGGCACAUGUAAAAUACUGUUAGCCUAACCUAAAGCCACAAUUUAGGGAAAAUCCAUUGGAGUUAUUUCUGAGAAGGCCGGUUAACGGAGUGCCAAGCCGGAAUAUCC
rfam:Lachnospiraceae bacterium COE1 genomic scaffold acPFN-supercont1.1, whole genome shotgun sequence.